rnacentral:rRNA from 1 species
GAGUUUGAUUAUGGCUCAGGAUGAAGCUGGCGGCGUGCCUAAUACAUGCAAGUCGAACGAGGUGCUUUUGUAGCAAUACGAGAGAUCCUAGUGGCGAACGGGUGAGUAACGCGUUGGUGACCUGCCCCAAAGUGUGGGAUAACGUCCGAAAGGAUUGCUAAUACCGCAUGUGGUCAUCGGGUUUAGAAACCGAUGACUAAAGAGUAAUGCGCUUUGGGAGGGACCUGCGUCCCAUCAGCUAGUUGGUAGGGUAAUGGCCUACAAGGCGACGACGGGUAGGGGACCUGAGAGGGUGGCCCCCCACAAUGGAACUGAAACACGUCCAUACACCUACGGGUGGCAGCAGUAGGGAAUAUUGCUCAAUGGGCGAAAGCCUGAACAGCAACGCCGCGUGUGCGAUGAAGGUCUUCGGAUCGUAAAGCACUUUUCUGAGAGAUGGAAAGGACAGUAUCUCAGGAAUAAGUCUCGGCUAACUACGUGCCAGCAGCCGCGGUAAU